UACGGAGGAUGCGAGCGUUAUCCGGAUUUAUUGGGUUUAAAGGGUGCGCAGGCGGCUUUUUAAGUCGGAUGUGAAAUCCCCGAGCUUAACUUGGGAAUUGCAUUCGAUACUGGGAAGCUAGAAUAUGGGAGAGGAUGGUAGAAUUCCAGGUGUAGCGGUGAAAUGCGUAGAGAUCUGGAGGAAUACCGAUGGCGAAGGCAGCCAUCCGGCCUAAUACUGACGCUGAGGUACGAAAGCAUGGGGAGCAAACAGGAUUAGAUACCCUGGUAGUCCAUGCCGUAAACGAUGUCUACUAGCCGUUGGGGUCUUUGAGACUUUAGUGGCGCAGCUAACGCGAUAAGUAGACCGCCUGGGGAGUACGGUCGCAAGACUAAA
rnacentral:rRNA from 1 species